CAGCAGUGUUGGUAGUAGGGUAGGUAAUAUAAUGUAGGUAGGGGUAAAGACUAGACAACAGGAUAGAUAAUAGACAGUAACAGCAGUGUUGGUAGUAGGGUAGGUAAUAUAAUGUAGGUAGGGGUAAAGACUAGACAACAGGAUAGAUAAUAGACAGUAACAGCAGUGUUGGUAGUAGGGUAGGUAAUAUAAUGUAGGUAGAGGUAAAGACUAGACAACAGGAUAGAUAAUAGACAGUAACAGCAGUGUUGGUAGUAGGGUAGGUAAUAUAAUGUAGGUAGAGGUAAAGACUAGACAACAGGAUAGAUAAUAGACAGUAACAGCAGUGUUGGUAGUAGGGUAGGUAAUAUAAUGUAGGUAGGGGUAAAGACUAGACAACAGGAUAGAUAAUAGACAGUAACAGCAGUGUUGGUAGUAGGGUAGGUAAUAUAAUGUAGGUAGGGGUAAAGACUAGACAACAGGAUAGAUAAUAGACAGUAACAGCAGUGUUGGUAGUAGGGUAGGUAAUAUAAUGUAGGUAGGGGUAAAGACUAGACAACAGGAUAGAUAAUAGACAGUAACAGCAGUGUUGGUAGUA